CUUCAAGACCUUGGAGAAGAGAAGAGGCUGCCGUAUGAGUCCUGUCCUUCUCGUACUUCAGAUGACUUUAAUGAGGAUGGAGAAAGUGGCGGGAAAUUAGUGCUGCCUUUCUGAUGCUCCAGAGUCUGUCACCCAGGCUGGAGUACAGUGGUGCGAUCUUCGCUCAUGGCAACCUCUGCCUCCAGAGUUCAAGUUAUUCUCCUGCCUCAGCCUCCCGAGUAGCUGGGACUACAGGACAUUCAUCAAGAUCAACAUACCUACCGAGGCAAACCCUGUGAGCCCUGUGACUGGCCAUGUGGACUUGACAUCCUCCUUGUCCGCCAUCCACUCACUUGCAAACUGGUGUCAAUGAAGGUAACAUUUUGUGGUAAUGGGAACCAUAUGGGCUGGUGACUGCUGUCAGUAAAAAUAGCCCACAUGGCCUGUGUGGCCAGACACAACGUCAAGCUAAGAGAAGGAGACAGAAAGCUGUGUGAAGGGAAGAAAAAAAAAUGGUUUUAAAAGACUGGAGACAGAAGCCUGCCUGACUGUGAAGGAGGUUUCAGGGAGCUGAAACAUGCAGCCAGACUGGGCUCAUCAACA